UCUUCUUUAAGUUUAAGAAUUCCAGGUAACUUGUUUUUCUGAAAAAAUAUUUCACAUUUUUUCUAUUUUUUCAUUAUUUCGAUAUGUUUUCUUGUUUUUUGAUCACUCAUAGUUGUCAUUAGCUUUCUACUUGAUCAAUUCUAACUUUUCAAUAAUUAUUUUCUUUAGUGAUACUCUGUACCUCUUUUUUCCCUUGGCCAAUUCUGCUUUAUAUGUAGUUAUUUUUUCAGUAUUUUUGUAUCUCUUUUUCUAAGCCAUCAAUUCUCUUUGCAUAUUUUUCUUACAUUGCUCUCAAUUUUUCUACAUAUUUCCUCUAGUGUUCUUCUUUGAGUUUAAGAAAUUCCAGGUAACUUGUUUUUCUGAAAAAAUAUUUCACAUUUUUUCUAUUUUUUCAUUAUUUCGAUAUGUUUUCUUGUUUUUUGAUCACUCAUAGUUGUCAUUAGCUUUCUACUUGACCAAUUCUAACAUUUCAAUAAUUAUUUUCUUUAGUGAUACUCUGUACCUCUUUUUUCCCUUGGCCAAUUCUGCUUUAUAUGUAGUUAUUUUUCAGUAUUUUUGUAUCUCUUUUUCUAAGCCAUCAAUUCUCUUUGCAUAUUUUUCUUGCAUUGCUCUCAUUUUUUCCACGUUUCCUUUACUGUUCUUCUUUGAGUUUAAGAAAUUCUGGGUAACUUGUUUUUCUGAAAAGAUAUUUCACAUUUUUUCAUUAUUUUGAUAUGUUUUCUUGUUUUUUGAUCACUCAUAGUUGUCAUUAGCUUUCUACUUGACCAAUUCUAACUUUUCAAGAAUUAUUUUCUUUAGUGAUACUCUGUACCUCUUUUUUCCCUUGGCCAAUUCUGCUUUAUAUGUAGUUAUUUUUUCAUUGUUUUUGUAUCUCUUUUUCUAAGCCACCAAUUCUCUUUGCAUAUUUUUCUUGCAUUGCUCUCAUUUUUCCCACAGGUUUCCUCUAGUGUUCUUCUUUGAGUUUAAGAAAUUAUUUUUGCUUCAUUUUUUCAUCUUUCUCUUUUGUUUAGUUCCACUUUGCAUUUUUCUUUGAAAUUUUCAGAUUAUUGUGGUCAUCUGAGUUUGUGUCUUGAGGUUCCUUGUCAAUAGAUACCUUUUAAUGGUUUGCCUAUUUGCCAAGUCAACAUCUUGAUUUUUUACUUUUAUGUUAGACUUGGGCUCUGAUAAGCUCUUAGAGUAAGGUGGGGGAAAUGUGUGUCAUUGUCCCAAAGUUCAGAAUCAUUCUCCCUGCUGUUUUCAUAGCUAGUUCUGGGGGGGUCUGUAACUUAACUUCUCAAUGUUUUAAAGGUGGUGAGAUGUGGAGAGAGAUGUGGUUACUGUUCUCUCAUUUCCCACUUUCUCCAUUCAGUCUUCUCUCACUAUCUGGGUCUCAACAUUGAUUCCUUCUUCCCCUCCCUCAAGCACCCUAGCUAACUUUCUUCAUUGCUAUGGCUUCACAUCCUUUCUUCUCUUCCUUUUACUCGUCAUUUCAGCUGUCUCACACCCUGACUUCAUCCUGUAAUGCAUUCCUUUUUCUUGACAUUUGUCACUAAUCUAUCAGUUUGGGUCUGUCCUUUCAUUCUGUGGGUUCUGCCUUGCUUACUUUUUCACUCUCGUUUUCCCUCUCCACUCUCCUCUCCCUACUUCUCUUUCUCCGUUCAACUGUGACACCCCAGGAUAUCCACUCCCCACUUUCUCUUUGUGUACAUCUCCUACUUGUUCCCUAAUGUCUGGGGCUUCUCUCUCCCUCAGGGACUUUUCCUAUGACACAGUCAAUUCUCAUACUGCUCUUGAUUCAGCUUUCUCUCCCUGAAGUUAUCCCUCCCACUCUUGCCUACUUAAAUCUCAGCAUCUUGACCUUCUUACAGCCUCAACUAUCUCUAUUUUCUCCUACAUCCUUCCUUUACUUCUUGGGCUUCCCACCCACCCUACUGUCUCAAUACUUACAGCCAUAAAACGUUCACUGAGCACAGCUUCCUUUCCAUACACCUCUCCCUCUCUUUGCCUCUUUUUACAUCCAUUGCUAAUAUUCCUCUUUCUCUGUUCAUGUAUCUCCUUUCCGUCUUCAGUCCUUAUCCACUAAUUCCUAGCCUUUUCAUUCCUGGAUAUCAGCAGAAUCUCCCUCCUUUAAUUGAAGUAUUCAUUGGGCUCUCCUACUGAAAUCACCUUUUGUACACCUUUGACUUAUGCUCAUAUUCAUUUCCCUUUCUAGCAGUGUCCUCCAAAUGCUUCUCUUUUCAUGCAGUCUCACCACUCAUUCUUCCUUUUCUUGUUCCUCCCCAAUUCAAUGUUCUUACAUUGCAUGUUUCCUUCCACUCAUCCUUUUCCCUCUUUGUCUCUAUACACCACACUCAUUCCAUACAUCAGUUCUCUCAUCCUUCACUCCUUCAGGUAGAUUUUCUAAACAGCCAAUCAUUACUUUCACUCUUUCCCAUUUUCAUGUCCCACAACGGCUCUUUAGCAGUGUAUUAUACUUGGCUCUCACCCUCUCGCUUUUCCUCCUUUCAAAGUUUAGAUUUUUUUUUCAGGAACUCAUCGUUCAUGGCUAAGGCUUCUGCUUUUACACAUAUUCUACAAAGUACAAUUAUGUAAAACCAAGCACUUCUUAAUUGUGUCCAGCUCUCUUUUCUUACAUCACUUACUCUCUUGAUCUCUCUUUCCUUCUGUCUCUUAUUUCUCACUGUCUCCAUUUGGAUCCCUCUCACUAUCUAGGUCUCUCUUCCCUUUGUUCUCUCUGAGUCUAGACAUUCGUGGUACUCAUUACAUACAUACAUAUACAUAUACAUAUAUAUUUCAUCACCCAUUCCUCUCACAACACUGAUUCUACUUCAUCCAUUUGCCACAGUCUAGUUCUCCACAUGGAUACUUUUCUUUCUUUCUCAAGCACUCUGGCUAACUCUUUCUCUUUGGAUUUGGCUCCUCAGUUUUGCUUCUCCUCCCAGUGCUCAAUUCAGCCAUCUCACAUCACAUACAAUAUGCCAUUCAUACAGUCAUUCACAUAUCAGAGUUUGGGUCUCUCCAUCCAUUCUUUUGGUUCUGCCAUUCGAUCAAUCAUCCUCAUCCUCUGACUCUCUUAUUUACUCACUCCAUUCUCCUCUCUCUACCCUUCAUCGAUUCAACUUUGAAACCUCAUGAUAUCUAUUCAUCCCUUUCUUUCUUUAUGCUUGCAUGUCCCAUUUGUUCCCUUCUAUCACUCUGAGACAUCUCACCCCUCAGAGACUUUUCCUAGGACACAGUCAUCUCUCAUACUUCUCUUAAUUCAGCUGCCUCUGCCUAAGUUUCUCUCCCCUAUUGCUUAUUAAAUCCUCAACAUCUUGAAAUUCUUACAGCCUUGGCUAUCUCUGUUUUCUCAACUAUCUUUCCUUUACUUGUUAGGCUUUCCAACCUACCUUACUGUGUCUCAUGAUCUGCAUUCACAAAUCAUUAACCCUGUAACAUCCAUUUCCAUAUAUCCCUCACUUGCUCUUAAUCUUGUUCCCCCCAUUAUUCAUUUUUUCCCCUUUCUCCAUUCAUCCAUCUCUUUCAAUCUCAAGAACUCUUCCAUUGGAUCUUGGCCAAGCAGUCGCUGCACCAAUCAUUCUUUGCAUCCAUUGGGGCUCCCCUACUGAUAUGUGUCCUUUCAUAGACUUUUCCCGCUGUAGUCCUCAGUUGGCAUUCAUUUUUGCUUUUCUCAUCCAAAUGUUUCUCUUUCAUUCAUUCUCACUCCUUUCUCUCGUGCUCCCCAAUUCAGUCAUCUCACAUUGCAUUCCUCGCUCCAUUCAUGCUUAUUUCUUAUUGGAACUUGACUGUCCCCUUAAGUAUCAGAGGUUGGGUCUCUCCUUUCACUCCUCACUUUGUGGUUUCUAUGUCUCACAUUCUUAGCUUCACCCUCUCAGCAUUUCUCACUCCACUCUCCUCUCUCUUUCUCUUCAGCCACUCAACUCGCACAUUCUGCAUAUGUCCCAUUCAUCACUCAAAAUUGUCCUUGCUCUACACAUCCAAGUCCCAUUCAACAUCUUAUUUCACACAAAUGUCUGACAUUCAAAUAGUAUUUGUAGCAGCCAGAUCUCACUAGUCCCUAUCCACAUGUACCUGUCUCUACCUCAGUGGUUCCCUAGAGCCACUCUAUCUCUCCUUGUCCUCUGAGAUCAUGGCUUUCUUCCUUUGAUCUGCAGCUCAUCCUUUAUUACUUCCCAUUUUGCUUUCUCACUUUGUUAAAUUAACAGAAUUCUCUGCUCAGGUUUCCCUCAUCCAGAGCAUUUCCAUCCUCACAUUUCUCACUCUCUUGAUCUUUUGUAUAAGCAAUCUCACAUUUUCUCACUUUUUUUUUUCACAGUGGCCCGGCCUCUUCUGUAUUCAUUCAUGCUCUAUUAGUACUAGACAGAAACUCUUCUCUGCCCCACUGUAGCUCAAAGAUGCAUCUACCUCACAAAUCUGGAGUUUCUCCUUUCAUACAUUGAUCACAAUCGAGCUCGCUACAUUUAGCCGCAUAACCCCACAGGGGACAGCUUUGCCUCUCCACACCAAGCUCAUUCAGUCCAUCACUUCUCUCAUCCUUCACUCCUUCAGGUAGAUUUCUCAAGAGCCAAUCAUCACUUUCACUCUAUACCAUUUCCUUGCAUGUUCUCCAGUGACUCUUAAGCAGUGAAGCAUCCUUGACUCUCAUCCUUUCUCCUCUUUCAUACUUUCACAGUUCUGCUCUUUUUCAGUUAUUUAUCCUUCAUGGCCAAGAGUUCUACUUUCUCACAUACACACACUGAAAAGUAUAGUUAUUUCUACCCAAGAAACAUGUGUAUGGCUCUUUUCCCUAUAUUAUUCACUCACUAGCUCUCUCCUUCCAUACAUUACUCACUCUUUCUCUCUUUCCAUACAUACAUUUCUCAAUGGCUUGUUCGGUCUUUCCCUAGAUUGCUCAUUCUUUUCUUGUCUUCAUCCAUCCAUCUCUCAUUUCUCACGGUCUCCAUUCAGAUGCCUGUCACUGCCUAGGUCUCUCUUCCCUUUAUUUUCUGUCUUUGGUUUCUAGACAUUCAUGUUUCGCUCUUCCUUAUAUCUCUUUACCCUUUUAUAGCACUUGUGUCUAAAUUCAUCCAUUUCCCAAAGUCUGGGUCUCAAAUGGGAUUCCCUCCUACUUCUCUCAGGCCUCUUAAUCAACUGUUUCACUUUGGCUGUGUCUCCCUGGUUUUCCUUUUCAUCCUUCUUCUCGUCAGGUUAGCUGUGUCAAACCAUGUAUUUCACACAAAUUCACACAUUUCUUGCAUAUUUUGACAAUCACUCAUAUAUCAGAGUUUGGGUCAGUCUGUCACCCUGCCAUUCUCACCCUUUCAUUUUCUCACUCCACUCUCCUCUCUCUACUUCUCUUUAUUCAAUCACCUUUGACCCUUUGUAUAGCCAUUCAGCCUCCAUUUUCUGUAUACAUAUAUCUGCCACUUUUUUCAUUUAGUCUCUUGGGACUCUUCUCUCACUCAGGGGUUUUUUCUUAGGAGAGAAACAUUCCUCCUAACUGGAUUCUACUCCCUCUCUGAGACUGCUUUUUUUCCCAAUAUUCCUUAUCUAAUCCUCACCAUCUCAACUUUCUUAUAACCAUGGCUAUCUCUGUUUUUUCACCUGUCUCUCCCUCAACUCUUAUGCUUUCCAACACACCUCACUGUCUCAAUAUCUACAGCGCCAACCUUUCUCUAUGUAAAGCUACUUUUCCAUAACCCUCUAACUGUCUUGGUUUCUCUACAUCCAUCACUCAUGCCCCCCUUUUUACACUUAUCCAGCUUUCUGGCUAGUUUCCUCUUUUGCUGCUUUUCAGGCUUAUUUGUCAGCUUCAACUUCACAUAUAGUUCGACUCUCCUCCUUGACUUCAGGACGUACUGUUCCAAACUUCAGGUCUCAUGCUGUUUUUUUCUAGGUAGUUCCAGGUAUCUCUAAACUUUCACUUCUUAGAAAGUGAAAUCAUCCAAGAAUAUGUCUGGUCACUAAUCUCCUGCAACAUGAGUGAUGGUCAGCACUGGUUUUUGCCUUGUAAUUGUAACCAGACUCCUGUCCCUGUGACCUAGAACUGUGCAUGGCAACAGAUUCCUAAUCCCCUUUCUGGCAAAGAGUCCCCUGCAGUCUCUAUCUGACUGGUUGUCUAAAGCUCCUUUUGUGUGGGCUGAAAACUCCAGAAAGCGCCACUGGUGAGUCCAUCGUUCCAGGAGCCUAUUGUUGGCUUCUUCUCAUGGUCACAGCCUCUGCUGCACUCCCUAAUUAAAGUCUGUGUUGAACAGUCCUCUCACCCCAUUCUUUUGUCUGAUCUGCCAUUCCAGAAUUCGUUUUGAGAUGUUAUUUUAAUAUAGUUUGGACGUGAAUUUGGGAGAACUCAAGAAAAUCCCUCCCUUUUAUCUACCAUCUUUGUUCCUCUGUCCUCCGCUGCUGAAAUGUCUAUAUUCAUACACAUACAAUUUGCAUCCAUUUUUCCUUCUCUGAAAGAGGCAAUAAGAAAAUUUGUUCCUCUCACUCUUACCAGUCAUUCUUUACUUCCUUGCUGCUCCUGAAUUCUAUCAUCUUCCAGUGGCUGUGUCUUUCCAUUCAACCUUUCCCCCAUUGAAAUUUCACUGUCAUUACAAGUCUCAGAGUUUGCAUCUCUCCUUUCCCUCCAUCUUUGGGGCCUGUGUGUCUCCCAUGCUCACCUUCACCGUCUCUGGCUUUCUCCAUCCACUCCCUGCCUCGAACUUUCUCUUCAACCUCUCAUGAAUAUAUCCAUCUCAUCCAUCUCUUCUCAACCUCUCAUGAAUAUAUAAUUCAUAUAACGUUCAUCAUAUGCCUUUUUGAUCUGAACCUGUGUUAUUCUCUACCUCCACAGAGUUGGUUUUCCAGGUUAGUUAAUGUAUCUUAAUGACAGGCUGAUGACGCAGGAACCAUGAAAAAUAUUUCACUUUUUCUUUUACAGCUGAAAAAUGAAACAAAAAGCCUCCACAGAUAUUUGUCAGAAAAAUGUUUUUGCACAUGGUAUAUGACAUUAUAAAGUUGAGAACUCGGGGACAAAAAAAAUCUCACUCCAUUAUUUGUCACCCAUCUCUGCAAAACAUUCCUGUGUCCAAUCCUGAUGCUCUCUCUUUUGAAAUAUCAAGUUGGGUUUUACCAAGAGUCAAUCUGGUAAGAUUGACUUCCUGUUUUUCUUGAUAAAUACUCAGAAGGCUCAGCCGGUGAUUAGAGUCCUGUCCAAUGGUGAGGAAAAAGGAGAUGGGGGAAAGCUUUUCAGAAGCUGUCUUCUUUCCUUCACCUUGUUUUCUCCUUUUCUCCUCGUCUUCCCAGGAUAUCACCCCAAGCUCCUAAGUUUUCCCAGCCUCUGCCGCCACUGCCAACUUGGUCUCUGCUACUACAUCCUAGGCCAGUGAUGUCUGCAGUGCCUCCACCACUAUAAUGGCCCCUUUGGCCUCCAAAGCCACCAUCCUCAGCCUACUUUCUUUGUUUCCAUCAGCCUCCCUGUCCUCCAUGGACUCUUUUGCAGCUUUACCUUUUCCUUUUGGGUAAAAGGUCACAAACUGUACAUUGUGCCUGACUCUGUCCCCCUCCUUGUGACUAUCCUGGCACCCAAAGGAUAAAAUGAAUCUUUCAUUGUUUCUUCUUUUAUAUCUUCAUCCAGACCUCUGAAGAACUUUGUAGAACUCUGUCCUUGGUGCUGACUUCUGUUCUUUGAGCUCCCGCUGGAUGGCUGUGGUUGUUACAAGUUUCUGUGUUGUUACAAGAAUUCAGAGCUUCUUUUGCAUCUUCCACAGAGAUCAAUUCAGCAAACGGGUCCCCUUUUGGUCAGCCUUGGAUAUUCUGGGGAAGGACGAACAUUGCCUUCUCACACACUUGGACUCUCCUCACUUGAGCUCUUGGCCAUAUUAUCCAGCACCAGUGUCUCUGAAGCUCCCAGCUUGCUUUUGUUCAAAUUCCAGGGAUCCUUCUCCCCACUUCUUUUGUUCUCUUGUCCUUUACUUUUCUUCACUGUGUAGUCCAGAAUGAGCACUUUACUAUCAAUCUUGAUUCCUUGUUUCUCUUCCAAGAUCUUGUCCACAUCUGCUUCCAUCUCAAAUACGCAAUUUUGCUGGGUGUCCCAUCCUUGUGCACACCAGUCUGACACCAGUAGAGUCUUCACACACUUCUUGGACUUACUUCCCUAGCGGAGAGCAUCCUCCCAUCUCAAUUUUCCUGCUGGCUUUGAGCUCUGGAGCCUUUCUGUGUCUUCAGUGGCUCUGAGUUCCACAUAGCCACAUUUCUUGGUGCCGUCCAUGUUGACAUCCAUGAUGGUGAGGGCUUUGGGGGGAAGACAUCUGCGACGCCAGUUUGAGUUCCAAAGAGUUCGGCUUCAAGUUCAGGUUACUAGCAGAGAGAUUAAAGUUUGUAGAUACUUUUCCAUUGUCUUCCACUCUUGAUUUGGGGAGCUUUCCGCUUGCCCAUUUCCUUUUUCCUUGUUCCUGGUGCUUCUCUGACAUGCAUUUUCUCCUCUUCAUAAUAUUCUUCCUUCUCUUCUCCUCUUCUUCCUCUUCUUUAUUUUUUCUUGCUCCUCCUCCUCCUCUUCUUCUUCCUCUUCCUCCUCUUCUUGUUGUUCCUCUUCUUUCUCCUCUCUUCCUUUUCCAUUUCUUCCUCCUCUUCCUCUUCUUUUAAUUCCUCUUCUUCCUCCUCCAUUUCUUCCUUCCCACGCUCCUAUUCCUCCUCCUCCAUUUCAUCUUCCUUCAUUUCUUCUUCCCCACCCUCCUCCUCCUCUUCCUCCUCCAUUUCUUCUUCUUCCUCCAUUUCUUCUCUACCAUCCUCCUCCUCCAUUUCUUCCUCCUUCAUUUCUUCUUCCCCACCCUCCAGUUUCUUUUCCUCUUUUUCCUCCUCCUCCUCUUCUUCCUUCUCUUCCUCUUCUUUCUCCUCCUCCUCUUCCUUUUUCAUUUUUUUCUCCUCCUCUUCUUUUUCCAUUUCUUCUUCCUCCUCCUCCAUUUCUUCUUUCCCUCCCUUCUCCUCCUCCAUUUCUUCUUCCUCCUCCAUUUCAUCUUCCUCACCAUCCUCCUCCAUUUAGUCGUUUUCUUCUUCCUCCUCCUCCUUUACUUUUUCCUUCUUCAUUUUUUUCUUCCCCACCCUUCUCCUCCUCUUUCUCCUCCAUUUCUUCUUCCCCAACUUCUUCACCCUCCAUUUGUUCCUCUUCUUCUUCCUCCUUCAUUUUUUGUUCCCCAUCCUCCUCUUGCUCCUCCUCUUCCAUUUCUUCCACCUUCAUUUCUUCUUCCCCACCCUCCUCCUCCUCCGCCGCCACCAUUUCUUCUUCCUUCGUUUCUUCUUCCCCACCCUCCUCCUCCUCCACCGCCGCCAUUUCUUCUUCCUUCGUUUCUU
ensembl:lncRNA